CAGCAGCCGCGGGAAUACGAAGGGGGCUAGCGUUGCUCGGAAUAACUGGGCGUAAAGGGCGCGUAGGCGGCUUGCACAGUCAGAUGUGAAAUUCCUGGGCUUAACCUGGGGGCUGCAUUUGAUACGUGUGGGCUAGAAUGUGAAAGAGGGUCGUGGAAUUCCCAGUGUAGAGGUGAAAUUCGUAGAUAUUGGGAAGAACACCGGUGGCGAAGGCGGCGACCUGGUUCAUGAUUGACGCUGAGGCGCGAAAGCGUGGGGAGCAAACAGGAUUAGAUACCCCUGUAGUCCCUGUCUCUUAUAC
rnacentral:rRNA from 1 species